GCCUCGAAGGAGAUUUGUGGGGUGGCGCGUAUGUGGGGACUCGGCAAUUUAAACACAUCCCGUGAAGAAACUGCCAACAACUAAGUUCCCCCCCCCCCCCCCCCGCUGUAUGUUCCACCCUUCUGGAGCCAUCUUAUUUGCGGCCUGGCCUCCUGGCACAAGGGAUUCUGGAGGUUGUGGUUUCCGAACGGAUCGAGACUGACACCUGAAGGACGCGGCUUAACCGCUUAGCCCCUAGCGGGUCCUGUGGGUUUCCCGACGUCUCCUGGGCUGAAAUGGAAGCGAGAAGUGAUCGGGAACAUUGUGCUGGCAGUUGGAUCCGGCUGCACCGAGCGCCAGCCUUGAAAUAAGUAAAACCGAUGCCCUUCCGCCCCUAACCUCAAAAGCUGCUUUUGCGUCUCGAUGUUAUUGAGAGCCGGCUCUGCGGUCAGCUCUGAGCUAGGCGCUGUGAGAACGCUCAGUAAGACAGUGUCUCGUCUGGAAAUGUACAGGCGAGAUUCAAACCGAGAAACUGCCAAAGGUUGUGUGCAGGGCAGAUCCUAGGAUACCGGAGACCCAGCCCGUUGGCUUGACCUCAAAACUCGGGGGCUUUUCGGCCCAUGCUGUCCCUUAAUUCCUCCUCCUUUGCUGACGCUGUGGGUGCGCAUCAAAGCCUAAACUUCACUAGCUCCCUUGCACACAAGAACACUAACCCUAACCUGACCAGUUAUUUAUUUUUCACUUCAAGAUUCUUCCAUUGAUACUUACGUUUCCCUGAUACCGUCCAAGUGCUGAGGGCGGGGAUGGACUGUGUGAUUUGCAUCUGCCAAAUGCAGAAAAUUUGGAAGUUCACAGCCUCUUAGUUGGAUGCCCCUGUGUCACAGAACACAUUUUGGCUAUGGGGUGUGAUCUGUGUCUGAGGAACAACAAGAAGCUACACGUCAUCCACACAGGAGCCAAAUCUGGAACUCUGGUCUCAGUUCUUCAGGACUAUUUGAGCGAAUAAUCACUCAACACUGGAGUAAAGGAUGUUCUACUAGAAGUCUUAUUCUGACUCCUAAAACCACGCUACCGAAAGUGUUGAUCCACAAACCAGUGCCAGUGCUUGAACUUUGUUACUGGUCCACAGUUAGGUCCCCUCAGUGAUUCCUGUGUGCACCCAGGGUUGAGAACUACUGCAUAAGAGGUCCUAGAAGAUAUCUGGUAUGGCCAGAGUACAGAGGGACCGGAGGUAA
rnacentral:lncRNA from 1 species